AUGGUAAGGACACCUUUCCUCUGGGUGGAUCUUUGUCUUGACUCUCAUGGCUUGUUCUUGGCCUUGCAAACACACAAAGAACUGCUGCACCUCCACAUCAACAUCAGCCAAAAGAUGAAUACCCAGGACUGGGAUAAAAUAGACAGCCUUACCUACAAGAAAAUGGAGAAAGACAUGGUUCUCCACACCAAGAGACAAAAACAAAAAUUUGACAAAUGCCGUAAGCAACAGCCAAAGCCAGAACUGGAUAAAUCACGGACCAUCAUCAACCUGACAGACAGACAACUCACUGAAGACCAAGUAUCCAUUCUAGAAAAAGGAGGAAAUUUUGCAGUCACCACCACCAGGAUCCCAGUAGAAAACAUCAUUGCCAAUGUUGAAUCAGCAAUUUACCAGCUCCCUGAGGAGGAAGCAGAGGAGGUAAGAAUGGAAACAGCAAGGAUCCUGAGAAAUGCAAAACUCCCCCCCAGCAACAUAACGAGAAAAGAAAGACAGGCCAUCAAAGAUCUCAACUCAGAUCCUGAAAUCAUCAUUCUUCCAGCUGACAAGGGGAAUGCCACAGUAAUCAUGGAAACAAAACAAUACAAAGAAAAAAUCAGACAACUUCUAGAUCCCACAAUUUACAAGAAACUGAAACAAGACCCCACUAACAAAAUCACCAGAAAAACGAACACUCUAAUCAAGAACUCCUCCAUUAACUUUGACAUACGCCAACAGCUGUGCAAAUCAGAAGCCCUCCCACCCAGGCUUUACGGACUCCCCAAAAUCCACAAGGACUCCAUCCCACUCAGACCCAUUGUAAGUGCCAUUGGAUCGCCGACUUACAACCUGGCAAAAUUUCUGGCUACACAGCUACAAACCCACAUUGGGCUCACUGCACAUUAUAUCAAGGACUCUACACACUUUAUAGAAAAGAUCAGCAACCUCAAUCUAAGCACCAAGGACAUCCUGAUCAGCUUUGAUGUGGUGUCCCUUUUUACCAAAGUCCCAGUAGCUGACACCCUCACACUAAUCAAACAAAACUUCCCAGAAGACAUCACAGCCCUGUUUCACCAUUGCCUCACCACUAGCUACUUUCAGUGGGACACUGGAUUCUAUGAACAGAAGGAUGGAGUGGCCAUGGGGAGCCCUCUCAGCCCAGUAGUAGCAAAUUUCUAUAUGGAAUACUUUGAAAAACAGGCCCUAGAAACAGCACCAAAAAAGCCAACUGUUUGGUUCAGAUACGUAGAUGACACCUUCACAAUUUGGAGCCAUGGAGAGGAAGAACUCAGCAAGUUCCUGGACCAUCUUAACAGCAUCCACCCAAACAUCCAAUUCACCAUGGAAAAAGAAAAGGAAGGAAAACUGCCAUUUCUAGAUGUUCUGGUCAUCCGCAAACCCAAUCAACAAUUGGGCCACACAGUUUACAGAAAACCUACACACACAGAUAGAUACCUUCAUAAAAACUCCAACCAUCACCCAAGUCAAAAAAGGAGCACAAUCAAAGCCCUGACAGACCGUGCACAAAGAAUCUGCGAACCUCACCUCCUCCAAGGUGAACUCAACCACCUAAACUGGGCUCUACAAGCCAAUGGAGACUCCACCACAGACAUCAGAAGAGCUGCAAGGCCAAGAACAAGCCAUGAGAGUCAAGACAAAGAUCCACCCAGAGGAAAGGUGUCCUUACCAUACAUCAAGGGGACUACUGACCGCAUAGGGAAGCUGAUGAAGAAGCACAACCUACAAACUAUCUACAGACCCACGAAGAAAAUCCAACAAAUGCUACGGUCAGCGAAGGACAAGAGGGAUCCUCUCUCUUCUGCAGGAGUCUACCGGAUACCAUGCAGCUGUGGACAAGUCUACAUAGGGACCACCAAACGCAGCGCCCAAACAAGAGUCAAAGAACAUGAAAGGCACUGCAGACUAAUUCAACCAGAGAAAUCAGCCAUAGCAGAGCAUUUGGUGAACCAGCCUGGACACAGAAUACUAUUUGAGAACACAAAAAUGCUGGACCAUUCUAACAACUAUCAUGUCAGACUACACAGAGAAGCCAUUGAAAUCCACAAGCAUGUGGACAACUUCAACAGAAAGGAAGAAACCAUGAAAAUGAACAAUAUCUGGCUACCAGUAUUACAAAACUCAAAAAUCAGAACAGUAAAUAAAAAGCAAUACUCUGAAAACAGAGGGUUUCCAGACAUGAAUCAACCAAGGGCAGUUAACGACUCUAAACAAAGGAUGCCCCAGAGGCAGGAAGAAGACAGCAGAUAA
ensembl:lncRNA